rnacentral:rRNA from 1 species
UACGUAGGGACCAAGCGUUGUUCGGAUUUACUGGGCGUAAAGGGAGCGUAGGCGGCAAUUCAAGUCAGUUGUGAAAUCUUCGAGCUUAACUCGGAACGGUCAACUGAUACUGCUUUGCUAGAGUACAGAAGGGCAAUCGGAAUUCUUGGUGUAGCGGUGAAAUGCGUAGAUAUCAAGAGGAACACCUGAGGUGAAGACGGGUUGCUGGGCUGAUACUGACGCUGAGGCUCGAAAGCUAGGGGAGCAAACAGG